GUUCGUGUAGCUCAGCGGAACUCAGAGAGCGCUGGUCUACGAAACCAGAGGCCGAAGGUUCGAAUCCUUCCACGAACA
rnacentral:tRNA from 1 species